CUCAGCCUCCAGUGUUUGCCGUGACCUGGCAGAGGGCUGGAGAUCAGCCAGGCACCAGGAGCCACCCAGCACUCCCACGAGCCAGCCUGGAGAACAGCCUGUGCCAGCCAUGGGAGAUUUUAUUACAGCUCACCUGUUUUCCUCUGGACCAGCAAUUUGUGAUAUUCUAGUCUUUUCUUAUUUAUGCAUCUGGAAAGGCCUUGUUGAUGAAACACCAAGAUCCCAAGGCUGUAUAAAAUUUUGAUGAGACAUUUUCUUCCAGGGAUGAGAAGAUUGAACAUUUCACCCCCAAAGUGCCUCUUUUACUAGAACUAGGCCACUCCAGCCUUCUGACUCACACAGCCAAGACAGCAGCCCACGCCUGGAGCUUGGAUUUGCUGGUCAGAACAAAUUCCUGGUGUGAGGAAUGCUCCUCCAGCAGUGGCCAAGCUCCUUCCCAGCCUCCAGCUGCUUCCCAGCAGGUGUUUUGGAUGCACAUCUGUUUGCCCAGGACCUGCUGAGCUGUGACCUGCCCUGGGUGGAACAAACCCUGGAGGAAACAGCUGGGACUGGCUGCUCCUGCAAAGCAGGACUUGUGGAGAGGAAAGGAAGUGUCUUUUCACCAAAAGAGGCACCCAGAGGAGGCCCAGUGCUUUGGAGAGCUUGUGUUGUUCUCUCCACGGGUGACUUUGGCAUUGUCCCACCCUCUCUGGCUGUCCCACAUUCCCUGCAGUGCACACCUGGCAGUGUCUGCAGGAGGGAUGGAUGUCCCUGCUGAUGAGAAUGUGGUGGCACCAUCUCCUGUCCAACACGAGGCUUGUGACACCCAGGCUUCUGCUCUGCUCUGCAAGGGUGAGUUUCAUUUAAUUUCAUUUUCCUGCUGGAGCAAGGGAAGGCAAUUCUUUCCCCAAAUAUAUUCAAUAAAAUACAAAACCAAAAUUGUAGAUGCUGGGAAUUGCUACUGCUGCCCCUUACAGUCAUAUUCAAAUUGACUUUAAACAUGUAAAAUGAUUUCCAAACUGCAAUGAACAGCACUGAAUGUACACUUUGGUCAUCUGCGUGUCCUACUGUGGCUCACCUAGAGAUGCUUUUCUUGAAUAAUAUUCACAGGGCUUUGCAUGUCAAUGUGUGCAUUUACUUAUCCUUAACGUGGAGUAACUUUGAGGGAUUGUAGUUCAGGGAAAAAAAUAUUUAUACUUCAAUAUUCUUCCUGAUGGAUUUUAAAAUAUAUGUGUUACCUGGGCAGUGCCCCUGAUCAUGGUGGGGGAUUGGAACUUGGUGGUUUUUGAGGUCCCUUCCACUUUUUGUGAUUCCAUGAAAAAAUCUUCGGCAUUAUGCAAGUGUUUGCAUCUCCCUGACCUGCAAACCUGAGCCCUUUGUGUUGUAUCUGCUCAUUAAACCUGGGCUGGUGUGGAAAUGCUUCAAGGACAACCAGGAACCAGCCCAGCUUAUUCUGGGAAACGGGUUCAAUGGCAAAGCAGAAAAUCUGCAGCAUGUGUGUGGAAAUUUGUUGCUCCAGGGAAAAGCAGGAUAAAUAUGUUAGGAAACCCAGACCUGGAUGGGGCUAAAUAACAAUGUGCAUUUUUAACAAUGUGCAUGUUUCAAAGUAUAUAAAAUAUUUUUAUAAGAAAAAAAAUCAAUAUUUUCUUAGUUCUUGGACUUAAUGACAACCAGUUUUUGGCUACCCUCACAAAGCUUUGUGAACAGCUCCAUGUACCAAAACAAUCUCAGGAUAUUGUUCAAGCUCCUUAUUCUAAUCAGUUACAUUCCACAUAUCCCCUUUUGCCUUGUCCUUUUAAAGCAACCAGAAACCAAACACUGGGCUGCUUCCUUGCAGCAGAGGAAUUUCUCCCCAUGCCUGGAUGCAAACCUGACCAAAUUCUCUCCUGUCCUUCAGCUGACCUGGAACCAUGUGUGGUUUUAGGAAGGCACAUAUUAACCAUUGGAAUAGGCCAGGCUUCCUGCUCGUUUGGCUUUGGACUGGGAACAAAAGUUCCAGGAUUCACCCUGGGCUGUAUGACACAGCACUGCCAAGGACUGACUCACAUUUGCCAGUUUGGUAGGUGUUAAAUUUUUUUUCAGUCCAAGAAACUUUUUUUUGUGGAUUAAUAGUACUAAUGAAUCAAAAAAUGCUCCAGCAGUGCUUGGUUUGGUAAUAUCACUGUGAGACACCAGAGCACUUGGGAAAUGCAGUUAAUGAUUCCAUGAAUACUGAGCUGGCUACUGAGUGUGCCACUGUCCCAGGAGGAAUUUUCAGUGGGAAUCAAUUGUUUAUGGGUCCUAUUCCUGACAUAUCCUGAUACAGGAUAACUGAAUAUCCCACUGAAAUGAUAAACUCAGGGGAGCUGGGCUUAUGUUUGCCACUCACAGCAAGGAACUGGGAUUUUUAUUUGGCACCUUCAAAAUGGCAUUGAGGUUUGAGAAGGGAUUUGCACUCAGCAGCGUUGAUCAGAGUGAGUUUAAGUUCCCCCACUUCUGGUUGGCUCAUGCAGGAAAAAGAAGUGGGGUUAUGAUGCCACUGGCUCUGUGUGAGGAGCAUCAGUGCUAUGAGGGGGGACUUGAUGACCUUAAAGUUUUUUUUCUAACAUAAACAAUUCCAUGAUUGUAUACUGUGUGGAAAUUACACUGCAGAAUGUGUUUCAGCCCUUCUAACUCUCCCAGUUAUGUUUUGCAUAAGUUAUGAAUUAUAUUGUGCUAUAUUAUGUGUGUGUUUAUGUUCCAUAGCAUGAGAACCAAUUUCUCUCUUUUCUUGCUGCAAUUCUGGUGAAAUCUCUGGGGUUUUUGCCCACCAGACACACACUCCCAGGCAAGUCCCUCCUUUUCCCCCUUUUUCCACUUUCCAGGUGUCCUGUGAUGCAGGACAAGGAGCUGGCUCUGGCUGUGGCACUGGAUUUCCAGCUGCAGCUGAAUUUCCAGCUAUGCUCUGCCCUCUCGUGGUGUGCUGCUGGCCCAGUCAUGCUUAUUUCUUGCUGUUCCCACACCACUGGAAAAUAAAAAAUUGCCUGGCGACCCCUCAGAGCUGCAGCUGGAGGGCUGGGGUGGCAAAGUGCUGCACCCCACCCUGCCUCUGCCAGCAGCAGCACCUGAGAUCAGUGAGUUUUCCCCCAGACAGUGCACGAAAUAAAAGGCAUGUUGUAUUUUGCCACCUGUUAUACAUCCUGCUCUUUUAUGGGUCCUCUCAUCUAAAGCCUGCACUCGGGGACAGAUGAUACCUGAGACAUCUCUAAUGCCAAUCCUUUUCUCUUCUUAGCCAGAAAUGCAGCUUUUAGCCUCUCCUUCAGACUCUUAAUCCAGCCAAGCACCUCUUGUUCUUUUUUCAGACAUUCUCCUCAGUAAUUGUUCUAUCCCCUUUCAAUGUUUUUUCCUUCCCAAGCUUAAAUGGAGCAUUUGAGUAUUGUACAAGCCAUGAGGAACCCACAUUUCUAUGGAUCCCAUCUCUGAUGCUGAAUUUACACAUCUCAGUGCAAUAAACAACAAAAGCAAAGUCUGCAAUGGGCUCAGCUGAUGCCUCUCCAGUCAAGCCAACACACUUUCCCAGGUGACAUGAUUAUUUUCCUUUCCUAAGCCUUUUCAGAUGGUAAAAAAAUUUCCACUUUUUCAUCUUAGAGCCACACAUCCCUUUCUGCUUAUUUCUCUGGCUUAUUUCUUCUGUGUUUUUUUGCUUGGCUUUACUUUUUUUCCAUGCAGUUUUGUGUCAUCAAUUUGUUCUCAGCAUUCCAGGAUUUCACUAGACACAGCUGCAGGAUUUCUUUCUUACUUUUUCCCAUUUCUCCAUUCCUUUCUGUAGCUGCUUUACCAGAGCCUUUGCUUCCUUGCCCUGUAGGAGUGCCCAGCUUGUAUUGAUGGACAGAAGUUUUCAUUACUCUCUCUGAUUUCAAUAAUCUAGAGGAGAAGAUAAUGUGUGUCAACCCAUUUAACCAUACAGUCCAGUAGCAGCCCUAAAUCUUUGGUCUCUGAGACACCCAACAUGUUCAAUAAUCAGGAUAUACUGGUUUUAGCUUCUUUAAAAGCUAAACGCCAAGUUAUUUGCAAGUCAUCUAUGGCUCAGGCCUCUGUAGCUUAAAUGAAGUUUUAGGAGCUGUUCUGAGGCUAUCUAUCUACUGCAGUGUUCUGAGUAGUAGCAGAGUCUUUCCUUUUCCUCAUUCCUGUUCAUUAAGAGGAAGAAAUACUUUUCUAAGUGUGUGGGGCAUUCCCAGAAUGAGGAAAUAACUGGAAAUGUGCCCCAUUUUCCUCAAGGAAGGUGUCCUGU